GCUUUUAAAACUUGUUGGCAACGAUUCAAGUGUUAAAGCAUUACAUGAACUACUGAAAUCAAGUUUUGAUAAAUGUGGAAUACCUGUCUAAAAAAGUUGCUUGUUCUUUUAAUGGUGUUGCUAACAUGAAUGUGACUUACAAUGGCCUUAAAGUUCAUAUGACUAAAGAUAAUCCACCUUUAAUAUAUACUCAUAAAAGUAGAAUCAAUUUCAAACAUUGUUUGCAGCCAUGAUAAUUUUAGAUUUAUUUUCUAUUACUUGCUCUAUAUCUAAGUUCUUACAGUUGAAUGCAUUGGAUUAUUUAAGAGCAUGAAAAUGUGUUGAAAAUCUAUUUCAACUUAUUUCUGAUAAAAGAAAUAAAG